UGACGGACUUCUGGAGAGACCUAUCAGGCGCCGAAGGGGCAAGGCAUAUGCUUAAACUCUCAGGCAAAAGGACAGAAGAAAAAUA
rnacentral:ncRNA from 2 species